rnacentral:rRNA from 1 species
CACGGAGUUAGCCGGUGCUUAUUCAUAUAGUACCUUCAGCUACCCUCACGAGAGUAGGUUUAUCCCUAUAUAAAAGCAGUUUACAAUCCAUAAGACCUUCUUCCUGCACGCGGAAUGGCUGGAUCAGGCUCCCACCCAUUGUCCAAUAUUCCUCACUGCUGCCUCCCGUAGGAGUCUGGGCCGUGUCUCAGUCCCAGUGUGGGGGAUCUCCCUCUCAGGACCCCUAAAGAUCAUCGCCUUGGUAAGCCGUUACCUUACCAACUAGCUAAUCUUGUGCGUGCCCAUCCUUAUCCACCGUAGCUUUCAAUAUCAAAUGAUGCCACCUGAUAUAUUAUAGGGUAUUAAUCAUCCUUUCGAAUGGCUAUCCCCUUGAUAAGGGUAGGUUGCACACAUGUUACGCACCCGUACGCCGCUCUCUCUAGUAGCAAGCUACCAAAUACCGCUCGACUUGCAUGUGUUAGGCCUUCCGGCUAGCGUUCAUCCUGAGCCAGGUAA